GAAGGACUUAGCUCAUAGAUGUCUUCUGAAAUGUGGAAGAAAUACUUUCGUUUGUCAUAAAACCUCAGCAGGAGAUUGGAGUCUGGAAGAGGGAGGGGAGAAGAGGAGGACCUCAGGGAGAUUGUUUUGCUUAUUGGUGUUUAAUUAAAAACCAAACAACUUUUCCUAUUAACUUGAUGCUACUUAUUAAUUGAAAUGAGGAGACUGACUCUGGAUAUUGGGAAAAUUUAUGGGCACAUACAGAGGAAAAGACAUGUGGGGACAUAAUGAGAGGACAGCCAUCUGCAAGCCAAGAAGAGAAUCCUCACCAGAAACCAACUUGACUGGAAUCUUGAUCUUGAACUUCUUGCUUCCAGAAUUAUGAGAAAAUAAAUUGUUGUUUAACCCACA
rnacentral:lncRNA from 1 species